AGAAGGUGUGUAUUUUAAGUGUUUGGGAAUGCAGCCCUAGUGUGUUGUAUUUGGGUUGUGCCACAGAGCAUUAUGGGGGUUCUAUGUGGUGAGAAAUUUAGUGACGUUGGAUAUAGAUUAAAAGUGAAGAAUGAUGAUUGAGCAUUUUUUUAUAUUAUUCAAUUCAAAUUCGUUUUUUCAAAUUACAGGAGAGCGAGGAGGUAUAUUACAAAUAGUUUUCUUGGUUUUAGAACGUUAUUUUUGUUUGCAGUUAGCAAGGCAAAUUUAAAUAAAUUACACGAACUCCAGUAGCUAGCGUUACCAGCGCGAGUGUGCAUUGAUCUCCUCCAGAAUGGUAGAAUGGCCAACGCUGUCGAAAAUGUUGUGGAUUUUUCAAGAACCAUUUUCAUUCUCUGGGGUACACGGAAAAGGUGCGAAUUAAAAGCGAGGGUCGACCUCUGCUUGAGAUCAGUUUCAGGAAGAAGGUGAGGGCGUUCAAUACUAACUGGUAUCAAAAGUAUAACUGGUUAAGCACAUCACGUUCGUUAUUGAGCUACAACCAGUGAGAAGAUGAUACCACCAGUCCGGCUCCAAACAGGCCUUUUUCUUGUGACGUAUUAUGCGCAGUCAUAAAGCUGUGACCUAAAAUGAUGUAACCAUGCAUUCAUUCACUACAUAAACUGUUCAGAUUGAUUUAAUCUGUACAAUAGUUUUCUACACUCAGCUUGUUGCAGGUAAUCUUUGGUCUUUUGGGGCACCUCGUUCCCUACAUAAAUAUACAUAUAUAGGGAAUAGGGUGCCAUUUGGGAUGCCAUCUCUGUGUGUGAGUCAGGAUGUGUUUUGUGUCAAUUAAUUGAUGGAAAUGUUUCCCUCAGAAAGAAAGAUGGAUCGUAAUGAUGAGAGAAUAAAAAGAGCUUUAAGACGCCGCCCUUAUGUGUUGAAACCAGUGAGGGUGAUCACCCCUGAUUCCGUGUUGUGGCCAACCGGCAAGGUGCACAGAAGGCCAAAGCCUUCUACUUCAGUGCAGACCCCUCAGAUCCACAAAAGGCCUCCAAUCAUUGUGAGCUAUGGGCGGGACCAA